rnacentral:rRNA from 1 species
GCCGGAUUAGGCUGGGAGGUGGUGCAUGGCCGUCGUCAGUUCGUACUGUGAAGCAUCCUGUUAAGUCAGGCAACGAGCGAGACCCACGCCCACAGUUGCCAGCGUACUCUCUGGAGUGACGGGUACACUGUGGGGACCGCCGCUGCUAAAGCGGAGGAAGGAAUGGGCAACGGUAGGUCAGUAUGCCCCGAAUAUCCCGGGCUACACGCGAGCUACAAUGGUUGGUACAAUGGGUAUCUACCCGAAAGGGGACGGGAAUCCCCUAAAACCAAUCUUAGUUCGGAUUGAGGGCUGCAACUCGCCCUCAUGAAGCUGGAAUCCGUAGUAAUCGCGUUUCAACAGAACGCGGUGAAUACGUCCCUGCUCCUU